CCAUUAUCCAACCUCCUGAAUCGAAUCUACGCCAGCAUCACCACCCCGCGCCGCCCAUCCCCGCACUCGGCGCGGUGGCAGCCUAGUCCCUCAAGGGCAGCCCCUUGAUCCGCCCGGCGCCGCUUGCUUCGCCCAAGACCACUUGCUCCGCCCGUCGCCGUUUUCCUCCAUUGGCAAGCCUGCUACUUGGAGCGCCGUCAACGCCGUCGUCCUCACCAUCACAAAGCAGUGCUCCUCCUUAACGUCGUCCUCAGCGUCAAAAAGCCACAUCCAUGCCGGUCUCAUCCUUCACCCGAAGCUCCGGUCCAUGUUUCGUUGGUACACUGCCCUACAAGCAGCUCUCGUCUCCAUCCAUCAUCUUCAGCCUCCAGCAUGUCAAGCAGGCGAUCCUUGAUUCCCAUAGCCCCUACAGUUUUAACACCAAAUCAACCAAGGUGGCUUCCUUCAUUUAUGCAUCUCAAGUCUCGAUCCUAGCAAAGCACUCCAAGUGUUUGAUGAAUUGUUUGCUUGCCUAGAAUUAAAUUCUGACAUACUUUCUUGAAAAUAUGUAAGCAACUGUUUGUUCCAAUCUAAUUUUACAACUCGUGUUAUAUAGCCAGGCCAUAUAUCCUCAAAUUCCAUUUACGCUAGAACAUAAAGCAUGAUAGUAUCUGGUUGUACAUGCUGCAUUGUACACUGUUAUUUUGACGUACACUGUUACUUUGUUACAAUUCCUAACUAAAAUGAAAGAAAGAUUUGUUAUUGUAUAUCCAUGUGUAGGCCAUGUAACCUCAAAUUCCAUUUAUGUUGGAACAUAAAGCAUGAUAGUGUUUGGUUGUACAGGCUGCAAUGUACACUGUUAUUUUGACGUACACUGUUACUCUGUUACAAUUCCUAACUAAAAUGAAAGAAAGAUUUGUUACUGUAUAUCCUGUAUGCUACUCUGCUAAAUAAAAAAAGACGGCCCUCUGUAGUUUUAUAUUGAAUGUUCUGUCUUCAUAUGUGUCAAUUCGCUGUUCUGUAUCAUUUAAAAUUCACUCUUGUCGCUCAUAAAACAAUCAAUCAAGCUGCUUGUAAUAGCUAGCUAUCUUUGUCCAUUGGAAUCCAUCUAGCAAUAUGAGUCACAUAAUAUAGUUGAAAAAUCACCUAGCAAUAUGCAUACUCCAUUGAAUGUUACGCACGUGAUGUAAUAGUUUGUUCGCUAAUAAAUAUUCUUGUUUAUUCUCAUUUAGUGCUAUGCAGGUGAGGUAAUAGUGCCUAUGUUUCAUAUAGGAUUACUUACAACUGAACUGAACCUCAAUUGUAGAAAGCACACAUUGAGAAGUCUGAUAGGUCAAAUCAAGGAAGUGCAGAAAUAACUGUACUGGACAAUCAGAUCACUAUCGAGGAAUUGCAUCCUAGCUUUUGUGUGGGAACCAAAGAGGAUUCCAAUGGUUUAUCUUUACUACACAUGGUUGUUAAGAAGGCACAGAUUAACAAGUUGGAUAGGGCCAAUUAAGGUUGUGUGGAAUCAACCAAAGAGGGUCACACCAAUUUUUCCUUACAACAUGGACACAUGGUUGCUAAGAAAGCACACAUCUAAAAAAAUGAUAAGGUCAAUCAAGGCUGUGAAGAAUCAAAUUUACUGGACAAGCAAUUCAGGAACCAUGAAUUUCAUCCUAGCAAAUGCGUGAGAAAAAAAGAGGGUUGGACCAGUUUAUCUUCACCACAUGAACAAACAGUUGCUAAGAAAGCACAUGAUGGUCAUACUGAAAGUAUCAAUGCGACCAAGUAAGGUGGUCCUCAACCAAGUGUACAGCUGAAUCGCGUCACUAAGAAGAUCAAUAUGUAGCAGUUUUUGUUGCCGCUGUUUCAAGACUUGGAGAUGAGACACUGGUUAGACCUUAUGACAAGUUCCAAACAGUUUAUUAUUUAUGAAGAAUCUCCGUGUUUUUACGUGAAAAAAACAAUCCCAACCACUCCUAUACAGCCUCAAAACAAGCCACCAAACACUGCCCACGCUUAGAAAAGGAGUGCAUUGCAAGAGCGACACGCAACUGCAGAAGAAUUAGUUUUUAAAUGGACAAAUAUUGUGUAUUAUAUAAAGGAUUUCUAGCUUCAUGGAAAAUUUGGUUAUGGUUGUAUGAUAUUUUCAUAAUUAUUUAUAUCUUUCGUAUGAAUAUCUGAUUUCAUAAAGUUCUGAACUCAAGGUGUUUGUUCC